UUUUGGACAAUGGGCGAAAGCCUGAUCCAGCAAUGCCGCGUGUGGGAAGAAGGCCUUCGGGUUGUAAACCACUUUUGUACGGAACGAAACGGUCUGCUUUAAUACAGUGGGCUAAUGACGGUACCGUAAGAAUAAGCACCGGCUAACUACGUGCCAGCAGCCGCGGUAAUACGUAGGGUGCGAGCGUUAAUCGGAAUUACUGGGCGUAAAGCGUGCGCAGGCGGUUAUAUAAGACAGUUGUGAAAUCCCCGGGCUCAACCUGGGAAUUGCAUCCGUGACUGUAUAGCUAGAGUACGGUAGAGGGGGAUGGAAUUCCGCGUGUAGCAGUGAAAUGCGUAGAUAUGCGGAGGAACACCGAUGGCGAAGGCAAUCCCCUGGACCUGUACUGACGCUCAUGCACGAAA
rnacentral:rRNA from 1 species